ensembl:snRNA U5 U5 spliceosomal RNA
ACACUCUGGUUUCUCUUCAUAUCGUGUAAAUCUUUCGCCUUUUACUAAAGAUUUCCGUGGAGAGGAACAACUUUGAGUCUGAACUCAAUUUUUUGAGGCUUUGUGUAAGCAAGGCU